rnacentral:rRNA from 1 species
ACGAACGCUGGCGGCAGGCUUAACACAUGCAAGUCGAACGAAUGCCAUGGCUUCGGUUAUGGCGUUAGUGGCGCACGGGUGAGUAAUGCGUAGGGAUCUGCCUUAUAGUGAGGGAUAGCUCUGGGAAACUGGAAUUAAUACCGCAUGAGCCCUUCGGGGGAAAGACCUGCAAAGGUCGCUAUGAGAGGAACCUGCGUCCGAUUAGCUAGUUGGAGGGGUAACGGCCCACCAAGGCGACGAUCGGUAGCUGGUCUGAGAGGACGAUCAGCCACACUGGGACUGAGACACGGCCCAGACUCCUACGGGAGGCAGCAGUGGGGAAUAUUGGACAAUGGGGGCAACCCUGAUCCAGCCAUGCCGCGUGAGUGAAGAAGGCCUUCGGGUUGUAAAGCUCUUUUGGCGGGGAAGAUGAUGACGGUACCCGCAGAAUAAGCACCGGCUAACUUCGU